rnacentral:ncRNA from 2 species
UUCUCGGCCUUUUGGCUAAGAUCAAGUGUA